rnacentral:misc_RNA from 1 species
UGACGAGAACACCAACGCAAGUGGCAAGCCAUGCACAAAAAUAUUUCAUCCGUUUGAACUCAAUGAACAAAGAAAGGAGGCGGUCCAGCAUCCACGAUAUCACCAGCGUUACGAACGGAGAUAUCUCGGCUGCUCAAGGGCCGAUCACCGGUCAAGCAAACGGCUCUGGAGCAGCUCCCUCUGGAAAACCAACAAAACAGCCUCCUCAAUCUGCAGCUGGUCCUCCUGGUGUGGGAAUGUAUGGUGGUCCAACAAUGGGGCAGCCAGUGGGUGGUCCGCUCGUCUCAGCUGUUGGCACCCCUGUCAGUCUCCCUGCUCCUGCUCAUAUGGCAUAUGGAGUCCAAGCUCCAGUGCCCG